GGGAUCUGAAGAUGAACCCAAGGAAGAAGAAAAAGGGAAUGACUCCAUCAGCUCAAGUCUCCAGUGAUACACAGUAGAUUGAAGAAAUAUCUGCCCUUCAUAUAGACAUAGCAAAACUUCGUUCAGGACUUUUUGCAAAAUCUCAAAAGCAGGAGAAUCUUGCCCCAACUGAGUUCUCCUCUCUCACCUCACCUCACAUCCCUCAUCCUACCAUUCCAUCUCAAUCUGCAGAAACAUGGGUGUAAGUUUAACGAUUUCAGUAGAGUAAUACCGAGAUACAGAGGUGGGGGAAAGGAGAAAGGAAUGAGGAAAGAAGGAGGAAGAAGAAAGGAAGGAGAUGGUGGAAAAGAAGAAGAAAAGGAAGAAAAAAGGAGGUUUUGAAGAAGGAAGUUGCUACGUUCCAGCAACACCACAUGGCUAGGAUUUGAGGGCAGCCUCUACUUACUGAGAAUAAACCCCAGCCAAGCAAGGACAUGGAUCCCAUUAUACAACCUCAAGGAACUAAAUGCUGCCACAAACUGCAGUAUCCUUGGAAGAGGUCCUCAAACCUGAGAUGAGAUUGCAGCCCUAGCCCACACCUGGGUUUCAGUCUAGUGAGCCCCUGAACAGGGGACAAUACCUGGACUCCUGCCCACAGACACUAUGAGAUGCCUAGUUUGUGAUAAUUUUUAUACAUCAAUAGAAAACUAAUAUACUUUAGUAAAUGAGCAAGAAGGACUAGACAAAAAUCAGAAUACAAAAUACAAACAAGUGGACAAAUAUGUACAGAAAAAAAUAAAAUUUAUAUUAAAACAGAA